rnacentral:ncRNA from 1 species
GGAACUUAGAAGUUCUUGAUGUUCUGAGUAUAAUCAGCAAUGUUUGAACACGAUGUUCAAACAAGCCGCCACUGAGCCACGGAUGGCGAAUUGGCGGCGGUUGCGUACAAUUACAACUAUCUAUAUCAGAACAUCUAGUACUUCUUAGUUUC